GCCAGACUCCUACGGGAGGCAGCAGUGGGGGAUAUUGCACAAUGGGGGGAACCCUGAUGCAGCGACGCCGCGUGGGUGAAGAAGCGCCUCGGCGCGUAAAGCCCUGUCAGCAGGGAAGAAAAUGACGGUACCUGAAGAAGAAGCCCCGGCUAACUACGUGCCAGCAGCCGCGGUAAUACGUAGGGGGCAAGCGUUAUCCGGAUUUACUGGGUGUAAAGGGGGCGCAGACGGCGAUGCAAGCCAGGAGUGAAAGCCCGGGGCCCAACCCCGGGACUGCUCUGGAAACUGCGGCGCUGGAGUACGGGAGGGGCAGGCGGAAUUCCUGGUGUAGCGGUGAAAUGCGUAGAUAUCAGGAGGAACACCGGCGGCGAAGGCGGCCUGCUGGACCGUGACUGACGUUGAGGCUCGAGAGCGUGGGGAGCAAACAGGAUUAGAUACCCCAGUACG
rnacentral:rRNA from 1 species